CUACGGGUGGCAGCAGUGAGGAAUUUUGCGCAAUGGGGGAAACCCUGACGCAGCAACGCCGCGUGAGUGAUGAAGGCUUUCGAGUCGUAAAGCUCUGUCAAGUGGGAAGAACCUACUAAGUGCCAAUACCACUUAGUACUGACGGUACCACUGAAGGAAGCACCGGCUAACUCCGUGCCAGCAGCCGCGGUAAUACGGGGGGUGCAAGCGUUACUCGGAAUUAUUGGGCGUAAAGGGCGCGCAGGCGGCCAGGUAAGUCAGAUGUGAAAGCCCGGGGCUCAACCCCGGAAGUGCAUUUGAAACUACUUGGCUUGAGUAUGGGAGAGGGAAGUGGAAUUCCUGGUGUAGAGGUGAAAUUCGUAGAUAUCAGGAGGAACACCGGUGGCGAAGGCGACUUCCUGGACCAAUACUGACGCUGAGGCGCGAAGGCGUGGGUAGCAAACAGGAUUAGAUACCCGCGUAGUC
rnacentral:rRNA from 1 species